rnacentral:rRNA from 1 species
AGCGAACGCUGGCGGCAGGCCUAACACAUGCAAGUCGAACGAAGUCUUCGGACUUAGUGGCGGACGGGUGAGUAACACGUGGGAACGUGCCUUUAGGUUCGGAAUAACUCAGGGAAACUUGUGCUAAUACCGAAUGUGCCCUUCGGGGGAAAGAUUUAUCGCCUUUAGAGCGGCCCGCGUCUGAUUAGCUAGUUGGUGAGGUAAAGGCUCACCAAGGCGACGACCAGUAGCUGGUCUGAGAGGAUGAUCAGCCACAUUGGGACUGAGACACGGCCCAAACUCCUACGGGAGGCAGCAGUGGGGAAUCUUGCGCUAUGGGCGAAAGCCUGACGCAGCCAUGCCGCGUGAAUGAUGAAGGUCUUAGGAUUGUAAAAUUCUUUCACCGGGGACGAUAAUGACGGUACCCGGAGAAGAAGCCCCGGCUAACUUCGUGCCAGCCGCCGCCGUAA